rnacentral:rRNA from 1 species
GAUGAACGCUGGCGGCGUGCCUAACACAUGCAAGUCGAACGGAGUCGUUUUGGAAAUCUCUUCGGAGAUGGAAUUCUCGACUUAGUGGCGGCCGGGUGAGUAACGCGUGAGCAAUCUGCCUUUAAGAGGGGGAUAACAGUCGGAAACGGCUGCUAAUACCGCAUAAAGCAUUAAAUUCGCAUGUUUUUGAUGCCAAAGGAGCAAUCCGCUUUUAGAUGAGCUCGCGUCUGAUUAGCUAGUUGGCGGGGUAACGGCCCACCAAGGCGACGAUCAGUAGCCGGACUGAGAGGUUGAACGGCCACAUUGGGACUGAGACACGGCCCAGACUCCUACGGGAGGCAGCAGUGGGGAAUAUUGCGCAAUGGGGGAAACCCUGACGCAGCAACGCCGCGUGAUUGAAGAAGGCCUUCGGGUUGUAAAGAUCUUUAAUCAGGGACGAAACAAAUGACGGUACCUGAAGAAUAAGCGCCGGCUAACUACGUG